GGUCAAGCGAACAAGUGCAUGUGGUGGAUGCCUUGGCGAUCACAGGCGAUGAAGGACGCGGUAGCCUGCGAAAAGCUCCGGGGAGCUGGCAAACGAGCAUUGAUCCGGAGAUGUCCGAAUGGGGAAACCCACUCCUAAUGGAGUAUCCGUAGCUGAAUCCAUAGGCUGCGUGAGGCGAACGCGGUGAACUGAAACAUCUAAGUAACCGCAGGAAAAGAAAUCAACCGAGAUUCCCAGAGUAGUGGCGAGCGAAAUGGGAUCAGCCGGUACACGUUAUCUGUAUUGUUAGUCGAACGCUCUGGAAAGUGCGGCCAUAGCAGGUGAUAGCCCUGUAGACGAAAACAGCAUGGAAGAACUGGGUGUACGAGAAGUAGGGCGGGACACGUGAAAUCCUGUCUGAAGAUGGGGGGACCAUCCUCCAAGGCUAAAUACUCGUGAUCGACCGAUAGUGAACCAGUACCGUGAGGGAAAGGCGAAAAGAACCCCGGGAGGGGAGUGAAACAGAUCCUGAAACCGCAUGCAUACAAACAGUCGGAGCCUCUGCGAAGGGGUGACGGCGUACCUUUUGUAUAAUGGGUCAGCGACUUACAUUCAGUGGCGAGCUUAACCGAUUAGGGCAGGCGUAGCGAAAGCGAGUCCGAACAGGGCGUCCAGUCGCUGGGUGUAGACCCGAAACCAGGUGAUCUAUCCAUGGUCNNNNNNNNNNNNNNNNNNNNNNNNNNNNNNNNNNNNNNNNNNNNNNNNNNNNNNNNNNNNNNNNNNNNNNNNNNNNNNNNNNNNNNNNNNNNNNNNNUCAGGUUGAAGGCACGGUAACACGUGCUGGAGGACCGAACCCACUAACGUUGAAAAGUUAGGGGAUGAGCUGUGGAUAGGGGUGAAAGGCUAAACAAACCUGGAAAUAGCUGGUUCUCUCCGAAAACUAUUUAGGUAGUGCCUCGUGUAUCACCUUCGGGGGUAGAGCACUGUCAUGGUUGUGGGGUCCAUUGCGGAUUACUACGCCAUAGCAAACUCCGAAUACCGAAGAGUGCAAUCACGGGAGACAGACAUCGGGUGCUAACGUCCGGUGUCAAGAGGGAAACAACCCAGACCGCCAGCUAAGGUCCCCAAAUAUGGCUAAGUGGGAAACGAAGUGGGAAGGCUAAAACAGUCAGGAGGUUGGCUUAGAAGCAGCCACCCUUUAAAGAAAGCGUAAUAGCUCACUGAUCGAGUCGUCCUGCGCGGAAGAUGUAACGGGGCUAAGCCAUAUACCGAAGCUGCGGAUGCACAGUCAUGUGCAUGGUAGGAGAGCGUUCCGUAAGCCUGCGAAGGUGCACUGGAAAGUGUGCUGGAGGUAUCGGAAGUGCGAAUGCUGACAUGAGUAGCGAUAAAGGGGGUGAAAGGCCCCCUCGCCGUAAGCCCAAGGUUUCCUACGCAACGUUCAUCGGCGUAGGGUGAGUCGGCCCCUAAGGCGAGGCAGAAAUGCGUAGCUGAUGGGAAGCAGAUUAAUAUUUCUGCACCAUUGUGAAAUGCGAUGGGGGGACGGAUCGCGGAAGGUUGUCCGGGUGUUGGAAGUCCCGGUCCUUGCAUUGGAGAAGGCGCUUUGGCAAAUCCGGGCGCAGGAUUCAAGGGUGCGAGGCGAGCCACUUCGGUGGCGAAGCAACUGGAAGGGGUUCCAGGAAAAGCCUCUAAGCUUCAGUUUCACAGUGACCGUACCGCAAACCGACACAGGUGGGCGAGAUGAGUAUUCUAAGGCGCUUGAGAGAACUCGGGAGAAGGAACUCGGCAAAUUGGUACCGUAACUUCGGGAUAAGGUACGCCCUGGUAGCCUGACUGGCCUGCGCCAGAAGGGUGAAGGGGUUGCAAUAAACUGGUGGCUGCGACUGUUUAAUAAAAACACAGCACUCUGCAAACACGAAAGUGGACGUAUAGGGUGUGACGCCUGCCCGGUGCCGGAAGAUUAAAUGAUGGGGUGCAAGCUCCUGAUUGAAGUCCCGGUAAACGGCGGCCGUAACUAUAACGGUCCUAAGGUAGCGAAAUUCCUUGUCGGGUAAGUUCCGACCUGCACGAAUGGCGUAACGAUGGCCACACUGUCUCCUCCCGAGACUCAGCGAAGUUGAAGUGUUUGUGAUGAUGCAAUCUCCCCGCGGCUAGACGGAAAGACCCCAUGAACCUUUACUGUAGCUUUGCAUUGGACUUUGAACCGGUCUGUGUAGGAUAGGUGGGAGGCUAUGAAGCGUGGACGCCAGUCUGCGUGGAGCCGUCCUUGAAAUACCACCCUGAUCUGUUUGAGGUUCUAACCUUGGCCCGUGAUCCGGGUCGGGGACAGUGCAUGGUAGGCAGUUUGACUGGGGCGGUCUCCUCCCAAAGUGUAACGGAGGAGUACGAAGGUACGCUAGGUACGGUCGGAAAUCGUGCUGAUAGUGCAAUGGCAUAAGCGUGCUUGACUGUGAGACUGACAAGUCGAACAGGUGCGAAAGCAGGUCAUAGUGAUCCGGUGGUUCUGUAUGGAAGGGCCAUCGCUCAACGGAUAAAAGGUACUCUGGGGAUAACAGGCUGAUACCGCCCAAGAGUUCAUAUCGACGGCGGUGUUUGGCACCUCGAUGUCGGCUCAUCUCAUCCUGGGGCUGUAGCCGGUCCCAAGGGUAUGGCUGUUCGCCAUUUAAAGAGGUACGUGAGCUGGGUUUAAAACGUCGUGAGACAGUUUGGUCCCUAUCUGCCGUGGGCGCUGGAUAUUUGAAGGGGGCUGCUCCUAGUACGAGAGGACCGGAGUGGACGAACCUCUGGUGUACCGGUUGUCACGCCAGUGGCAUCGCCGGGUAGCUAUGUUCGGAAGAGAUAACCGCUGAAAGCAUCUAAGCGGGAAACUCGCCUUAAGAUGAGAUAUCCCCGGGGCUUCGAGCCCCUUGAAGGGUCGUUCAAGACCAGGACGUUGAUAGGUCAGGUGUGCACGUACAGUAAUGUACUGAGCUAACUGAUACUAAUUGCCCGUAAGGCUUGAUCCU
rnacentral:rRNA from 1 species